rnacentral:lncRNA from 1 species
AGCAACAUAAAUGGACUAACACAUAUAUUUUUCUAUCUCUUUCCUUUCACUUUAUAUGUGUCAUUAUAGGUGAAUUGAAUUUCUCAUAGGCAGCAUAUAGUUAGGUUAUGUUUUUUUCAUCCAUUCAGCCAGUCCAUAUCUUUUAAGUAGAAAAUUUGAUGUGUUUACAUUCAGGGUUAUUAUUGAUAUAUGAUGUCUUAUUCCUAUAACUUUAUUAAUUUUUUUUUGUAUAUGCUUUGUUUUUUCUCUCUUAUUAUUUAUCAUUAUUGGGCCUGUGCUCAGGCACCAAUGGGGGCGAUGGUGGGCUUAGUAUGAACAUCUUUGGUUCCCAAAGUGGUGUAGACUGGAACCAGUUUUAGUGGGUCCAGGCAUCUUUCUUGGGUGUCAGCAGUGGCAGCAGUGGACUUGACAGGUGGGAGAAUGUUCAGGCUUCUGAGCAGCAGGUGUGGUGUGAGCAAUGGCAAUAGCAGUGGUGGGACAAUGCCGUGGCUCCCAAGUGGUUUGCACUGAUGGUGGUGGUGGUUAUAACGGGCUGGGCAGAUCAGUCUUCUGGCCUGAAGGUGG